GUGCCCGCUUUGGCAGCAUACAUGCUAAAAUUGGAACGCUACAGAGAAGAUUAGCAAGGCCCCUGCAUGAGGCUGACAUGCAAAUUCGUGAAGUGUUCCAUAUUUUU